UGCCGCGUGUGUGAAGAAGGCCUUCGGGUUGUAAAGCACUUUUGUCCGGAAAGAAAAGCAUUCGGUUAAUAACCGGGUGUCAUGACGGUACCGGAAGAAUAAGCACCGGCUAACUUCGUGCCAGCAGCCGCGGUAAUACGAAGGGUGCAAGCGUUACUCGGAAUUACUGGGCGUAAAGCGUGCGUAGGUGGUUCGUUAAGUCUGAUGUGAAAGCCCUGGGCUCAACCUGGGAAUGGCAUUGGAUACUGGCGACCUAGAGUGCGGUAGAGGGGUGUGGAAUUCCCGGUGUAGCAGUGAAAUGCGUAGAUAUCGGGAGGAACAUCUGUGGCGAAGGCGACACCCUGGACCAGCACUGACACUGAGGCACGAAAGCGUGGGGAGCAAACAGGAUUAGAUACCCUGGUAGUCCACGCCCUAAACGAUGCGAACUGGAUGUUGGGUGCAACUUGGCACUCAGUAUCGAAGCUAACGCGUUAAGUUCGCCGCCUGGGAAGUACGGUCGCAAGACUGAAACUCAAAGGAAUUGACGGGGGCCCGCACAAGCGGUGGAGUAUGUGGUUUAAUUCGAUGCAACGCGAAGAACCUUACCUGGCCUUGACAUGUCGCGAAUCCCUGAGAGAUC
rnacentral:rRNA from 1 species